ACAGAGGCUCUUUUCAGAGCCAUAAUUGGGAUGACCACAAUGAAU
rfam:Ophiophagus hannah scaffold1444.1, whole genome shotgun sequence.